AGGGUUUGAUCCUGGCUCAGAACGAGCGCUGGCGGCGUGGCUAAAGCAUGCAAGUCGAGCGCGAACGUCCCUUCGGGGACUAGUAGAGCGGCGAAAUGGCGAGUAAUAGCUGGAUAACCUGCCCCUGGAACGGGGACAACAGUUGGAAACGACUGCUAAUACCCGAUAACGCCUUGUGGGGGCAUCUCCGCAAGGCCAAAGGUGGCUUCGGCUACCAUCGAGGGAGGGGUCCAGCCGCUAUUAGCUUGUUGGUAGGGUAACGGCCUACCAAGGCGAUGAUGGCUAGGGGGCCUGAGAGGGUUGCCCUCCGCACUGGGACUGAGACACUGCCCAGACUUCUACGGGAGGCUGCAGCAACGAAUCAUUCACAAUGGGCGAAAGCCUGAUGAUGCGACGCCGCGUGGGGGAUGAAGGCCCUCGGGUUGUAAACCCCUGUCAGGAGUUAAGAAAUGCGCGGUCGCUAAUAUCGGCCGCGCUUGACAAAGGCUCCAAAGGAAGCUCCGGCUAACUUCGUGCCAGCAGCCGCGGUAAGACGAAGGGAGCGAGCGUUGUUCGGAAUCACUGGGCAUAAAGCGUCCGUAGGCGGUUUGGGAAGUGGGGUGUGAAAUCCCCCGGCUUAACCGGGGAAUUGCAUCCCAAACUCCUUGACUUGAGGUGCAGAGGGGAGAGUGGAACUCUCGAUGGAGCGGUGAAAUGCGUAGAUAUCGAGAGGAACGCCGGUGGCGAAAGCGACUCUCUGGCUGCUACCUGACGCUGAGGGACGAAAGCUAGGGGAGCGAACGGGAUUAGAUACCCCGGUAGUCCUAGCCGUAAACGAUGGGCACUAGGUAGAGGGGGACCCAUACCUUCUCUGCCGAAGCUAAUGUGUUAAGUGCCCCGCCUGGGGAGUACGGCCGCAAGGCUAAAACUCAAAGGAAUUGACGGGGGCUCGCACAAGCGGUGGAGCAUGUUGUUUAAUUCGAAGCAACGCGAAGAACCUUACCUGGGCUUGACAUGCUAGCAGUAGCAACCUGAAAGGGAAGCGACCGGUAUCCAGUCCGAAACUAGCACAGGUGUUGCAUGGCUGUCGUCAGCUCGUGUCGUGAGAUGUUGGGUUAAGUCCCGUAACGAGCGAAACCCUUGCCCCUAGUUGCCAGCGGGUCAUGCCGGGGACUCUAGGGGGACCGCCGGUGUUAAACCGGAGGAAGGUGGGGAUGACGUCAAGUCAUCAUGGCCCUUACGCCCAGGGCGACAAACGUGCUACAAUGGCCGGUACAAAGGGACGCAAGACCGCGAGGUGGAGCUAAUCCCAUAAAGCCGGUCCCAGUUCGGAUUGCAGGCUGAAAUUCGCCUGCAUGAAGUUGGAAUCGCUAGUAAUCGUGGGUCAGCCAUACCACGGUGAAUGUGUUCCCGAGCCUUGUACACACCGCCCGUCAAGCCACGAAAGCCGGCAGCACCUGAAGUCCGUAGCCUAACCCUCGGGAGGGCGCGGCCGAUGGUGAGGCCGGUGAUUGGGACUAAGUCGUAACAAGGUA
rnacentral:rRNA from 1 species